rnacentral:rRNA from 1 species
GAUGAACGCUGGCGGCGUGCCUAAUACAUGCAAGUCGAGCGAACGGACGAGAAGCUUGCUUCUCUGAUGUUAGCGGCGGACGGGUGAGUAACACGUGGAUAACCUACCUAUAAGACUGGGAUAACUUCGGGAAACCGGAGCUAAUACCGGAUGAUAUUUUGAACCGCAUGGUUCAAAAGUGAAAGACGGUCUUGCUGUCACUUAUAGAUGGAUCCGCGCUGCAUUAGCUAGUUGGUAAGGUAACGGCUUACCAAGGCAACGAUGCAUAGCCGACCUGAGAGGGUGAUCGGCCACACUGGAACUGAGACACGGUCCAGACUCCUACGGGAGGCAGCAGUAGGGAAUCUUCCGCAAUGGGCGAAAGCCUGACGGAGCAACGCCGCGUGAGUGAUGAAGGUCUUCGGAUCGUAAAACUCUGUUAUUAGGGAAGAACAUAUGUGUAAGUAACUGUGCACAUCUUGACGGUACCUAAUCAGAAAGCCACGGCUAACUACGUGCCAGCAGCCGCGGUAAUACGUAGGUGGCAAGCGUUAUCCGGAAUUAUUGGGCGUAAAGCGCGCGUAGCGGUUUUUUAAGUCUGAUGUGAAAGCCCACGGCUCAACCGUGGAGGGUCAUUGGAAACUGGAAAACUUGAGUGCAGAAGAGGAAAGUGGAAUUCCAUGUGUAGCGGUGAAAUGCGCAGAGAUAUGGAGGAACACCAGUGGCGAAGGCGACUUUCUGGUCUGUAACUGACGCUGAUGUGCGAAAGCGUGGGGAUCAAACAGGAUUAGAUACCCUGGUAGUCCACGCCGUAAACGAUGAGUGCUAAGUGUUAGGGGGUUUCCGCCCCUUAGUGCUGCAGCUAACGCAUUAAGCACUCCGCCUGGGGAGUACGACCGCAAGGUUGAAACUCAAAGGAAUUGACGGGGACCCGCACAAGCGGUGGAGCAUGUGGUUUAAUUCGAAGCAACGCGAAGAACCUUACCAAAUCUUGACAUCCUUUGACAACUCUAGAGAUAGAGCCUUCCCCUUCGGGGGACAAAGUGACAGGUGGUGCAUGGUUGUCGUCAGCUCGUGUCGUGAGAUGUUGGGUUAAGUCCCGCAACGAGCGCAACCCUUAAGCUUAGUUGCCAUCAUUAAGUUGGGCACUCUAAGUUGACUGCCGGUGACAAACCGGAGGAAGGUGGGGAUGACGUCAAAUCAUCAUGCCCCUUAUGAUUUGGGCUACACACGUGCUACAAUGGACAAUACAAGGGGCAGCGAAACCGCGAGGUCAAGCAAAUCCCAUAAAGUUGUUCUCAGUUCGGAUUGUAGUCUGCAACUCGACUACAUGAAGCUGGAAUCGCUAGUAAUCGUAGAUCAGCAUGCUACGGUGAAUACGUUCCCGGGUCU